CUCUCUCCUCUCUCCUUCCUCGCUCUCCUCCGCUCCCCUCUCCUUCACUCACUCACUUACUCUUCCUUUUUUUUUUUUUUUUUUUUUUAUCCCGCUGCCCCUGUGCCAGUUAAUUUAAAUGUAUCUGUUCAAGUGGAGAUAAUCCAUGCAAAUCAGAGGCACUGGCUCUCAGUGCUUGAUUCACAAAGAGAACUCAGCUUCAGGAGGUCACUCGUUCACAGCUGCUCCUCCCAUUAUAUUUUUCCCUUAUUGCAGAACUGCUGCAUGUAUACAGUGACUGAAAGGACUCAAUUUACUGCAACUGCUGCCUGGUUUUACUUACAACUUUCUUUAAAGGGGGACUUACCUUCUAUCUGUCUUACUAAGGUGACAGUGCACCAAGGGACAUCGCCUAAAGCUGGGCACGAUGAGACCUAA
rnacentral:lncRNA from 14 species